CCUCCGCCAGCACCCCCCACCCGGCGGCGGAAGUGGGUUGUUGAGGGGCUGCCUCGGUGGAGACGUGUCGGGAGUCUUGCUGUUUCCAAACCCUGAGACUUUGCGCUCAAAUAGCCCCCUGCUGAGCCACCCUUUGGACCACUUUUCCCGGGAAAAGCCGUUCAUGGAAUAGAGGCAGCGGCGUUUAAGCCGGUUUCGAGAAGGCCCACAGAAGCACGUGCCCCAAACAGGCGCAGAACCUUGGGGUUGGUGCGGGGCCGUCUCCCCAAGCGACUCGGAGACCUCUGUUUUCCCUCAUUGAGGUUUUUACGAUUUAAAACAACCCGAGGUGGGUGCUGAAUGGCUGCUGUGGAGGCCAAGGAGAAACGUGGGACUUCGCACCCGCUUGGAGAAAAAACCCCGGGAGACGGGGGGAGAAGAGUUGGUUUUUUAACGUAGCGUUCUGGCAGGUCCCGGCCGUCACUGCCGCCGUGGUCCUUGCAGCCAUUUCCGUCAAGAACGGAGGCGGGCAGGUGUCGCGACGCAGCCCCGGCGGUGGGAGCUGGGCCCAGCGCUGCGUGCCGCCCGGGCUCUGCAGCCCCAGCUGGUCCCCGGCUCUGCCGGGCCAGACAGGCCGGCCCGAGGGGGCCGUGAGCAGUCGGAGGCCCCAGUCUGUGCGGGUUUCCUCUCGUGGAAAGGAAGGUGGGCUAGCGGGUCCCGUCCUGGUCCACGGCCGCCUUGGGGAGCCCUGGCCGCUGGCAGCACACCGGGAGGGGGGUUCACACGGCCCCGAGUGCUGGCAUCACAACGCCGGGGAGCGGCAGGAGCGCAGACUCGGAGAUGCCAUCCGACACGGGCCAGGGCCAGGUCGGAGGGGUCAGGAGCCCCCGAAGCUGACGAGGUGUCAGAAAAACGGCGGGGGUCCAGACCCUGGGGCGGCGAGCCCACGGCUCCGAGAUGUGUUCGAGUUGCGUCUGAAGGAGCGAGAAGGCAGCGUCUCUCCUCCCCUCGAUGCCGCUUGUGAAAGCAAAGCUCUUUCCACCGGGAAAGACACGAAACCCCGGGCCAUGCGGGCCUGACCCUCUUCUGGGAUGGCGGCCUUGCGCCCCGCUGCUGUUCCUUCCUGCGGACGCGCCCGCCCCGGCUGCCAGCGCAGGAGCCCGCGGCCGCGGGGAGUGCAGUGGCGUGGAUGGCCCGUGGGCAGCCGCUUCAGCGUAAAGUCGCUGAGUCCCUUCCUCCCCUCCCGAGAAGGGAGGAAGACCCACUCUCCUUGCCCACUUGAGGUCAGGAGGCCAAGACGUGUGCUGUUCUGCGUGCGCCGGGGUCUCCCCUGGAGCGCGGCCCCCAGAGAGACGCCCCCCAGCCCUCCGGGGUGGCGGGGGUGUGCGUGCGAUCGUUUGUUCCAGAGGCGUGCCCUCCGAUCGUAGGUGCCGGGUGACCCGGUUCCCAAACAGACACACACCUGGGCCUCAACGUGCCGCAUAAACCGCAGGCCGAGACGGCGCGCGCUGCGGCCGCACUGGCGUUGAAUUUAGCGCGGCAUCAAGGAGGCUGUGCGUGCCGGGGCUCUGCCGCGCCCUGGGAGAGGCCGCCGCGCCCGCGUGGACGCCAGGCCGGCAGGGAGGCCUCGCCCCGAGCUGGGGACGCUCGUUCGCUUAAAGCCGCCUCUUCCUCAAGAUGCAGAGUGACGCGUCCAACUGUCACGGCGCCGAGAGGUGUUGGCUGUCGGCGCUUCUCUGCGCGAACACCUGACCGGGUGCCAGGGAGCAAGGUGACAGGUAGCCUGUGAUUUCAAGCAAAUCGGUCUCAGAUGUAGAUGGAGCAGAGUUUUAGGAGGAAAGGGUGGAAGUUUGUCACGUGCUAGGCCUGAGCCGUGCCCUCCUCCCCCUGCCCGCUCCGGGAGGGCCCCCAGAAACCCCACGCCCCUACACUGGCCCCCUGACCUGCCCCUCGGCCUGCGAGGACUUCCACCCUGCGGGCCCUGAGCUCAGCCCAUCGUGGGGGAGCCACCGCGCCCCCUGGACCUCCGUGCACGGAGGGGCAGCGGCAUGUCUGGGCUCUCUCCACGCAGAAGCCCGCGCCCUGGGAAGGAAGGAAGGAAGGGGCAGCGGCGCUGGGGGAUGAAGAGUCGGGACCGGGGCACGGCGUGUCCGCCUCACGGGCCGCGCCUGGCACGAGCCGCGCGCCCACUCCACGCCCCGGCGCUGUGCGGAUUGAACGGGGACCUGCGAAUGCGACCUCGUUUUGAAAAGGGGUCUCUGCAGACGUGAGCGAGGAUCUCAAGGCGAGGUCACGCUCGAUCAUCCGGGCGGGUCCUCAGUCCACCACCCAGCGCCCUUGCGGGAGACGGACGGGAAGGUGCGGACACAGAGGCCGCGUGAAGGCGGAGGCGGAGACGGGAGCACGGCGGCCGCAGACUGGGAGCAGCUGGAGGCCCAGGAGCGGAGGAGGCGAGGAAGGCCCCUCCCCAGAGCCCCCGGAGGGAGCGCGGCCCCGUACCGGCCCGAGUCCUGUGAGAGGGGGUGUUUCUGUUGCUCUAAGCCCCCCGUUUGGGGAGCUUCCUUGCAGCAGCCCCAGGACGCCCGCAGGGCCGCCUCGCCUGCGUGGCGGGAACGUCAGAGGUUCACCCCGCUUAGGCCACUGCUUGGCGCGUGCCAGGUGCUGGGAGCAUGCCAGGUGCCGGAGGUUGUGUUUUUAGCAUCAGAGGAGCCUGGGUCGGAGUCCCCACUUACUGGCGGUGGGGGACCCUCUGUGGCAUACUCAGUCUCACCAAGCCACGGCGGCCUUCCCAGUGGGAAACGCAGACUGGCAUCCACCUUGAGUGGCCUUCCUAAUCGCCUUCCUUCCAUUCCUUCUCCUGCCACCUGUCAUUUCAAGGAAAACCCAGGGUGUGACAUUCUGGCCGCUGAGCCCGGCCCAGACCAUCCCCGGGGUGGGGAGCACAUCACCUCGCUCUGGGUUGAAAGGUUGGCGAGGGAGGUCCCUGGGGUCGCGUGUACACUGGGAAUGGGCAUGUAGCGUCACAACUGAGUCUUGGACACACCUGCAGCAGCUGGAUGGUCACCCUGAGAGACCGCGCUCUACGCCAGGGACUCUUGGGAUGGGCCUUUGACAACGAACCCGAGAGGCAUUUGGGACCUACGUUUUUAAAAGCAGCAACAGAAAUGGAUUCCUGAAGCCCACGCUCCCCGCCGGCCAGGCCCGGCCCGGCCCUGCGGGUCUCUGACAGUGUCCACAGCUCAGCUGGGUCACUGGAAACUGGCUGUGCUCAGAAGUAGCCAGGUAUGUUUGCAGUGAGAAUGACAGCAAAGCAAACCUCAAACCAACUCAAUAAAGCCACGUAGGGCUGACGCAACAACAAACGGAAGUCGGUUAGUGGAGUCAGACGGCAAGUCCAGAAACAGCCGCAGGUGGGUGGAAUUUUAGAGCGUUAUGAGCAUGGCAUUUCAGUGCAGUGGGGAAAGGAUCGUCUAAUAAACUAGCUUGUCAGGACAGCCGGGCAAGCUAUUUGGAAAAUGACACAAUUCCGGAGACCUUAGAGUUCUAAACAUCUGCUGGAUUUUUAAAUUGUUACUGUACCAGAUGAAAAUAUAAGACAAAUGCAUCUCCAUCUGCAUUUGAAGGAGGUGUGUCAGAAUAUGGCGAGAACUCAGAAGCCAUAAAGGAAAAGAUUGGCGUGCUUGACCACAUAAAGCUGUUGGAAACAAAAGACAAAUGGCGCCUGGGAGAAAGCACUGGCAACGGGUAAUCUGAAGAGAUCAUAUUCAUAAUAUAUAAAGAGUAUCUACAGAUCAAUAAGAAGAAGGCAAACUGCCCAAAAGACAGAUGUGCAAAGAAUAUUAGACAGGCAAUUCAUAGAGAAAAAAUACAAAAUGGCAACUGGAAGCCUCUAGAAAGGGCAGAGGAGGGGCCCAGGUGAGAUUGACAAGGAUUACCUGGAGUGAUCCCCUGAGAGAUUUCCCACCUCAGUAGUGUAGUGAUCAUAAUAUUAAUGUCACAGAUUGGGAUGGGAGACAGCGUCGUACUAUAAUCUGGUUAAAGGGAAAGGACGUGCAAUCCUUUGUCCACAGUGUAAAUAAAGGGCAGGCACACUGCUGGUAGGAACGCAGGCGUGUUUUGGGAACGCAGUUGGGCAGUAUUUAUUAAAAUGUGGAAUGACUAUUCCGUUUGACCAAACAGUCCCACGUUUCGGGCCGUGUUCUCCAGAGCCGACUACACGAGUACACACGGCCAGACUUACAGGGAUCCUCUCGGCCCCAGUGCUCGUGAUAGCAACCGACGGGGCCAGCACAGACGCCCCACAGACGCGAGGCUGGCUGAGCAAAUCGUGACGCGUCCCGACAGCCUAGAACGGGUCCAUCAGGAACGGCCAGGGAGCUCUACGCAGGCUGACGUGGGGAAACGUAGGGCGUCAUCAAUGCUCCACAAAACGAAACUUCCCACUCUGCACGCAAGUGUAAAACCGUGGAAGAGAACCCACCAGGACUUCUACACGGAAGGCCCCGAGCAGGAAGGGCCUCGGCGUGUGCCAGAGAGCGUCCGUGCAUGUAGCCUCGCUUUUUGCUGGUGUUCGACGUUUAUGAAACGUGUUAAUUUUAUAAUAAGAAACAAAAUAUCCCUUCCAAAUGACCCCGGAUUCUGUUUAAAACCAUACAUAUACAUGUCCACGUUACGUCGUCCUUUUAGAAGACCAUCUAUAGAGCGAGAUACUGUGGCUGUCACCUCGGCAUAGGGACACCAGGAUGAGCAGCUCCUCUGAGGACUUUUUCCUCUCCACCUGCAGGACGGCUGAGCAUGCCCAGUUUCCUUUUCCAGUGUGCUGUCAGUGAUGUAACCCGUGGUCUGUUCUCGGGCACCGCGACAGUUUACGCGCAUGCAGGUGAAGAGCACACGUGUUCAGACGGGCGAGACGGGUGGCGGCGUCUGCGCCUAAACUGCGAACGGAACUCACGUCCGGAGAGAACGGUGCUCUGUAACUAGGCACGGGAGCUUAUUUCUCAGCUGAAACGAAAUGCCAGGAGCACCCUCCUCCCUGGUGCCCACGCCCUGUGCCGUGGCUUCCCAGACAGCAUCCCGAGGCAGGAGCCGUGCCCGGGUUGUUACUGAGCUGCAUCGUUUUCAUAAGUCAGAGAUGGAUAAUUUCCAAACUAGCUUUUGUCCUUUUAUAUAGAGAUUGAAGCAUGACCAACAACAACAACAAAAAAAAAAAAUUCUUUUUUUUAAAAAACACACCCCAAAUUGCAGACCAGCGGAGCUUUUCCGCAUCCGUCCAUCCCGGUGUUCUCUGAGCCGGUGGGAGGAGCCAGCAGCUGUUCCACCAGAGAUUCUGUUUUUUCCACCGUGCGCGUGUCCUAAGUGGUUUUAACCAGGGCCCCCCUUAAAAUGUAUUAUUGUGAAAAAACAAACCAAGAAACAAGGGGUAGUAAUUUAGUACUAGGAAGUUCAUUCUGGAGACCUCCGACCUUCAAGCAGCCACGUGACUAUUGAUUUUCAAUACCGGGAGGUGGCGUGCCACCCCAAGCGUGGGGUUCAGCAGAUUCCAAACGGUUUCUCCCUUAUCAGCCGGGCCCCUGAGUACUUGAGCAUUAAGACAGCAAAUGUCCAGAGUUAACGGCGUGUCACAUGGCAGCCGGGUGGACGUGCCAAUUUUCUAAUGAAGUCGGGUUGUUGGCAAACACACCAGUCAUCCCGUGUUGAAGGAGGUCUCCUUUUGUGCUCUUCCAGCGCUCUCGAGUGCUUCGCAAGAUACCGGUUACAUCAUUGUCUGCGGGCCGGGCGCCGGGGGAGACGCCCGCGUCCCCUGCCAACGCCGAAACAGGUGCAGGCAGAAUUAAAAGCACCGUGGGGCUGGGGUUUGUAGGGGGCGUCAGGAACACUCCCUCCAGUUGUGCUCGGUGGAGGAAAUACUCUGAAUAAAAGCAGGGGCUCCGGGGCCUUUGUUUCCCCACUGCAAGAAGCACACCCCCCCCCAACUUAGCUCGCUCUCCGGUGGGAAGGAUCAGUGUCAUUUUUCUUAACAUCAAAGGAAGAAAAACCGUCAGUGUUUCCUGGGUCUAAACCGUCUCGGCCCUGACACGUGAACUUGGGAAGUCCGUGGCUGGUGGCUGCUCCGGACCCUCGCGUCACCUGACCGCGUUUGCACCUCCGCAGACUCCGCCGGACACGCCCGCCCUGCUCCUCACUCCCAGCCAGUAAUAAAUUACGGCUGCCAUCUCGUAUUGAUUAUUGAAAAUGUUACGUCCGUGGGAAGAAAAUGCCAUUGCUUUAAAUAUCACCAUUACAAGGGAUUCAAAAGUUGUUUUUUUUUUUUUUUUUUUGCAGAAAAUGUGUGUGCUAAAAAUUUUUAAGCAAUCUCAAGGAGUCCAGGAAGGGGGUGCCGGUGGGGCAGAAUUUAUAUUCAAUAACAACAACAAAAAAAAAUCAAUCCUCGGCUCGGUCUGGCCAGAGGAGCGUUCCUCGGCUCAGGUAUAAGUCGUUUAAAGUCAGACGCCUCUCGCACGGACUUUUUACAGGAAUGGCGAAAUUUAUAAUGAAAUUCAACGAGGAAACUGGAAAAACAGCCAAAUUGGUGCAGCAAAGUGGUUAAUAGGAUCAUUAGCCUACUCCCUGUAUUUUUUUGGACAUUGUGUGGCUGUGCCGCAGCACUGAAGAGCAGAUUGCGGGAACAGGCUGACAGUUAGCAGCUAGCUCAGCAGUGCCGGGCACAAACUGCCAUCUUCCUGUGGAUUUACAGCUGCCACUUCUGCUACUUCAAUUAGUUCUAUGGCACACAGAUGUUGCUUAAAUGUUGCCGCUAAUGAUACUGCAAUAAGCGUAAGAUUCAUGCCAUAUUUUGAGGCACGUAAAUUUCUCAAGUGGCACAAUUAAAGUGGAAAUAUUAGGUGGUGAGAACUUGGCAGUCUCUCCAACUUGGAAGGCGCACCCGCUAUGCAAUAAUGGGUCAAAAAUUCAUUCAAGUUUUACUGCUGUUCCGAGUUUUAAAAGACUUUUCACAGUUGAAUGCAAAGUAGUAAAAACCAGGGUAUUAGGAAAUGAGAAUGCAGUUCUGUUAUUCAGACAUGACUUUUAAUUUCAAAUUGAAAUCACAUGCUCACUUUUCUGGAUAUGACUGAAAGGGGGGAAAGGUACAGGCCGUGAAGAGGUUUUUGUCUUUAAGGGUAAAACGUCCCGAGUGGAAAUGAAUUCGGUGCCGGGCUAGCGUCAAAGUCAGCCCUGCCCGUGACCUGGGGAAGUGUUGAGACCGCCUCACACCCAGAGAAGCAGCCCCGGUGUGGCGGAAAACGGUCCCUAAGCAGAUAUCUCGCCACUCAGCCUCCUACACAGGGUCCCGGCCACGGGCUGGGAGAAUGUGCUGGGGACAGGCGCUCGGACGUUUGCAUACGUGCACAGACGCGUGUACAGAUGCGUGUACACGGCACACCCACUCUGUCCUGCACACGUGUGCUCACGCAUGCCUGUACACCCUCAGUCUCUGCCUCUUGCACAUACACACGUGCACGCACAUGCACUUAGGCUCUGACUCUUGCAUCUCGUACACGCGUGCACCCACUCACACAUACGUGCACACGCACUAAGUCCCUGCCUCUUGGGCGAGUAGAAAAGAAAAGACAAGUGGGGUUUCCAGGAGUCUCCAUUAGAAUUUCUCUUGCUCAUCUGUCAUCCCAAGCACAGUCCCUCCUGCCUGUCGCCAAAUUUUCCUUUCCGUGAAAAAUCUCCUUCGGAGAAGAGCUUCUCCCUGACUGGCUGUCAAGUGGGCUUUUGAUUGUCUCGCACGCCGACCCAAAAGGCGGCGGUUCCAGGCAGAGCCGCCACCGCCCCCCACCCAGUAGGCCUCCCUGCCCCUCGAGUCUUCGAGCAGCCCCGUCCACCACCCCCGCCCCGUUUUCGCUUAUUGAUUUGAGCUGUUGAGUACAAGACCACAUUGCACUGAAUCAGGGCCACAUCCCAAUCAGGAUUCGAGCCUGUGCCCUGGAACCCCGUGCGUGUGGCUCUGCCGGGGGCCGGGCACAGCCGGCUCCACCUCUGUCCCUCUGGUUGGCACCUUUCAGGGCAGGCCUGCACCCCAGCAAAGUCUGUCUGCCACGAGCACGGAAGCCGGACCUUGUCCCGUGGACCGUCGCCGAAUAUUUACUUUCCCCUUAGAGGGUGCAAGCCAUUCGGCAAAGCUUUCUCCGGACAGUCAGGACUCUGAAGGAUUCAACAUUCAGUGAAUUUCUCAGCACCUUUCUGCCUCUCUCUCCUCCCUGUCCUCCUCUCCCCUCUCCCCACCUCAGUCUCUCUCUCUCCCCCUUCCUUCCCUCCUCUUUCCCCUCCUCCUGCCCCUUGCUCGGUGCCCAUACCAUUCGGAUUAUUUACAGCAAAUCUUACAGAUGUCAGUAUUGUCUUGUUCCGAAGCCGAAAAGGACAAUGAGUUCCCGCUGACCUCGGUACAAUGGAUCUCGCCGGAGCACAGUAUGUAUUUUAUACGGGCAGUGAAAAGCCUACAGGUAAUUGAGAGAGAGAGAGAAAUGUCACUAGCAUUUCUGUUGACACUGCACUCUGCGUGGAGGGGAGCCCAGGGCCUGGCGGGGCAGGAGCCGCCAAGCUGUGUACCCAGCAACUUGUCCUUUAGGAAGGAUGAGGCGGUAGAAAUUAAUCUGCUCAGAUUUUCCAACUAAUGAAAUAUUCCCAGGACCGAAGAGGCCGGGGGACGUCGUCUGCGGCACCGGCUUCCAUUUGCACAGAUACGUGCGGACUCCGGGCCCAGCUGCUAACGCUGGGCUCUGUUUUCCGGCUCUCUUUAUUGUCUUCCAUAAUGCUUAAUGUACUGUUUGUAUAUGUUGUCCUUGCACUAUAUUUUGAUGUGCUCUCAUAUAUUUUAUUCAUCUCUGGCUCUCUGCGAAGGCAAGCUCACAGCAACACGGAGAAUAAUUAUUUGCUGCCAUCCAUCAAGUGUGUGCGUAGUUGGCGCCUCAUGGGACGGCCUGGAUUCGGAGCACGGAACGCAACUCUGGCUCCCUGGGGCCGUUCCGCCCUCUGCUCCUCGGUCUGCGGUGGGUGGUCUGGACACCAGGGAGCAGACCUUCCUCCGAGGAGCAGCCACAGUGCAGGAGCUGCGUGCCUGGCCUGUCCCUUCCCGGGCCCUGGAGCCGCCGCCUGUUUCCGACGAGCCUCCGCCGCGUUCUCGCUGCAAAGCCAGGUGAAAUCCCCACGCUCGACAGCCAGUCCGUGAGGAGCUAAAUUUCAGCACAAAAAGAGGAAACUCCCAAUUCUCUGCUGACCUUUGGACUCGUGUCCUGAAAGAGCUAACGAACAUCCUUUCGUGAAUUCUCUCCCUUCCGUGUUAAAAUCCUGCUCCCGCUGCCUCCUGUCUGCGCAGAACCUACCAACACUCGCCACGCUCUUUCGCUGAAUCCCCCAGAGGCCUGCGAGGUGAGGACCGCCACAUCCAAUUUAUGGUGGGGAAACUGAGGCUGGGAUUUAAGACUUGCCGAGGCCCGUGGAUUCUCGUGACGGGAGGGCUCUGAAUCAGACUCUUUGGCUGCAACUCUCUCGCGCUUUCAGCUGUACCUGGGGGAUUGAAGUGGAUGCUCUCAAAGGGACCCUCAAUCGAUGAAAUUCAGCAAUUGCUGUUUUAUUUGCCAACAGAUGCGUUUAUUCCUCCAGCAAGUGUCUGCGUGCCUGCCCGGGGCCAGGCGCUCUUCUGAGCUCUGGGGACGUCACCGUGAGCAGGACCAAUGAGGCCCCUGCCCGGUGGCGUUUACGUUCCAGUGGGGAGGAAGGUCAGUGAUGUCAUUUCAAAAGACGGUGAUGCUGGGAAGAGAGAGUGCAGGCCCUGGGCGAACGGGUCGGACCUGGACGUUUGCGAGCUAUCGUCUUGCCAGUCUGCAGAUGGGACCCAGGUUCCGGAACCAGAGCGCUGAGCACAGAUGCCAGCAUCUGCCUCUCUCCGAAGAUGCCCUGGGUCCCCAGAAUGAAUGGUCCCUGCCUGCCACCCGAGGGCUCGCUCUGCCCGUGGGGACCGAGUCACCCCGGCUCAAACCAGUGGACUCAGUGGUACUCAAUAAUAUGGGCCAUGUGACGUUCUCCGAGUUCAAAAAUUGUGCAAGCCCAUAGAGCUCGCCAACGCCAUCACUCAGCGAGACGCUAGGCUGGUGCGCCAGGAAGUUACCCAAGUCGCAGGCCCUGAUUAAUUUUGCUCUGCUAUUUAUAUUAGAGUGUGGUUGCCCUGGCAACUGCGGCUGGGUUGCUUGGCGUCUGUGUUCCGCAGCCUCAGCUUUGCACGCGCGCACGCCCACGCCGCGGGGUGCCGGAAGGGCAGGCAAGUCUGGCUGGGGAGACGGCGAUGUUCCGCUGGACGCCUCCAGCUCGCAGAGGUCCUUGGUGGCGCACCUGCCCGCUGCCCUCCCCCACUGCUGCCCGCUGCCCCUGCUCUGCCCUCCACGCCCGCCCUGCCAGCCCUGCACGGGGCGGUGGCCCCCUUUGUCCUGGCCGCUGACUCCCGUCUGUACCCCUGCCAGACCCCAGGCUCCCCAAAGCAGGGCCGGUCGUGUCUCUCGUGGCCCCUGCCCACCCCCCCAUUCCCGGCCGCCGGCGAGACUGCAUGGGCGUAGCGGGCCCUCACUAGGUGUCACCUGCUAAGGAGACCUUCCUAAAAUGGGGUGACUCCUCCAGUCACUUAGCAAAUGCCGUUUUAUAGGCAGUGUCAGAUAUGCCUCUACUUUAGCAGAUUUCUGGAUUUAAUUCUUGAAAACGAAUCUAUUCUUCCUGUGACUUCCGCUGUAACUAGAGAACUGUAAAUCUAACGAGAGGAAACUUUUUGAGAUGACAGUUAAACUGGAGUUCGGGCAUCACAGGUGGGGAGUGGAGGAGCCCAAGGCCCUGGCAGCGCUUUGUCAGCGCCGAAAUUCUCAUUCCCACUCUCCCUCCUCCUCUUCCUCCUCUUCCUCCUCGUGCGGCUGUGUCCUCCUCCCUUCUCCAGCCCGGAACGGUCUUCCCGCGGCAGAGACAGACUCGUCCUAGUGACACUCAGACAUUGCUGCCUUCCUCCUCUCUGUGCCGCCGUGUCAGGUGGAGCAAGGAUAGCAAAAUGUCGGUGGCGGUUGCAGGCAGAUUACAGCUGCACAUCUCUCUCCGAGGGGAUGGCUGUGUCUUCCCAGCGUCUGUUAGUCGGUGUGACAAGCACAGGUGCCGCAAAUGAGACCAGAGCUCGCUGGCUCUAGGAGGCAAGAAGAUGUGAGCAAAGCCUUUGAAAGCCAGACAGUGUCCAGGGUCUUUCAGGUAACCGUUCUUAAGGAUCAGUUUAUGGAGGAGAAAAAAGGAACCACGAAGAACAAGCAGGAAGAUUCGCAAGUGCGUGACGGAUGGCAGGACAGCCGGCCACAGCCAUUCAGAAGGGCCAGCCACGUAGGGGCAUGUGACAGGCCCUCCCGGUUAGACGGGGAGAGAGAGCAGCUCCGACCCCUUGACCUCAAGCAGAGAGACUCGGCAUGAGGACGUGGCCGUGGGGGUGGCUGGCGGGUGGCUCCCAUGCUGUGUAGGGAACCAGCUCUGUGCAGACCCUGGGACCUUCAGGAACAACCUGCCACGCCCCAGGGGGCUCUGAAACCUGCUCUGAAUAGCACCAUUGUCCAGGACCCACCUGGGGUGGGUUCACCAGGUAAGGGGUGCUCGGGGGCUCUCAAGGCAGCUCGGGCUGCAGGCUGGGCAGCGGCCUUGCCCAGGCCGGGUUUCUGUCCAAUGCCUCAGCCCCUAGAGCCACCCCUGGGAGCAGCCUUGCCCGCAGUUGACGCCAGCGCACUGGGAUCGUGCCUCUUGCCUGUCCCCAGCACAUGCAUAGCAGGGACGUCGGACGUGGCCCACCCUGACCGGGGGGGCGGGGCUGGUUCACCUUCAGACUUUCUGUCGCUCCAUUCAUCUUCUCGGAGAUGCGAGCUGUGUUAAUUAUUUUUAAGACAGAUCAAACUUAUUUCAGAAAAGAAUUAGCUCAAGAGUAGGCAGAGGUCCCCCAGAGAGCUGCUGGCUGCAGCCCCUCCUCUCCAGCAGAGCUGCUCCUUUAUUAUUUUUGCCGAGAUUCCUACUGUUUCUCUUUAUUAAUGCAAUAGAGAACUUUCUUCGAGAAAAGCAAGAAGGCUUUAAGCCUAUUGCAACUGCAUUGUUGAUUUGUUUUAAAAAAUAUGCAGAGUUCCCCCCCUCCCCCCCCCACAGCAUGCUGGAGGAGGCUGGUGUUUUCCACGCAGGGCCCCAGAGGCUGAGGGGUGCACAGACCGCAGGCCCGGCCUGCCCUGUGGCCACUGUGCGUUCACGCCGUCUCCAGGGCUGAGCCGCAGAGAGUCAGGGUCUGGGGUGACCAGACCACGCCCUGAGUGCUGUGUGGCUCACAGGGGCCACCACCAGGUCUCCGUGACGACUCGGCCACACUCACAAGGCACGUGUCUCCUCGGGCACGUGGGGCUCACAGGCAUGGAGCCACCUGGCGAAGCCCCGGCCCAGGGCUGGAGAGGAGGGAGGAAGGGCCUCUCCUUCCAGGCCCCCAUGGCGGGGGCCAGAAGGGUGGGGCGAGGUGGCAGAGGGACGGGAAACCACACCUAAGGGCCUGCCGUGGUGGGCACGGGGGAAUUGGGGUGGCUCACGUUCCGGACAGCCUGACACGUGGGUUUUCAGUGGAGCAUUUAUUUGAAAAUGUGCACCCCUUAGUAAUCAGCACCCCGGCCAGGACACAGAGCUUUUCUCAAAGUUGCACGCCUGUGUCCAUGGCAGCACCGUUCACAGCAGCCAAGAGGAGGAAAACACACAGAGAGCGUGUGGACAGGUGACCGGGUAAACCAAAGGUGGCGCAUCCGCACAGCGGAAUGUUUUUCAGAGCCGUUCCAGAGCGUGGGCGACCCCUGAGAACGUCCGCUGUGAGGGAGAUGACCCAGACGUAAGAGCACACAAAGCGUGGGGUUCCACUCACGUGCUCUGGUGUGGGGCGGGCAAAUCCGUAGAGACGACAGAAGGCGGAACGGUGGGGGCUGGGGCAGGGGACACGAGAAAUUGUUUAACGGGGACGGUUUCGGUUUUGGAGAUGAGAAGACGCUGGAGGAGGAUAGUGGCUGCCCAGCAAUGAGGAUGUGCUUAAUGCCGCAGAACCGUCCACUUAAAAACGGUGGAAAGGGUUAAUUUUACAUAUAUUUUAACACAAUUUUUAAAACUUAAGAAGAUACAGAACUUUUCCGUCGCCUCAGAAACCUCCCACCCUCCUCUUCCAGUCAGUCCCUCCCACGCCCAGAGAGGCUCCUGUUCCCCUGCCAGCACCGUGGGUUGGCUCUGAUUUUGAACUUGGGAUGAGUAGGAUCACGGGGUAGCAGCUGUACAGAGUCCCCUCAGGCGACAUAAUGCUUUGAGAUUCUGUCACGUCACUGCCCACGACGACGGUCCGUGCGUUUUUAUUGCUGGUUAAUAUUCCACUGUGGAAACGUGCCACAGGUUCUGCCUCUCUUUUUGAUGGACAUUGAGUUGUUUCCAUCUUUCGGCUUUUAUAAAUAGAGCUGCUGCAAACGUUCUCGUUCGAGUCUUUCUGUGCACACGUGCACGUCUCCCGGGCACGUGCACAGGACGUGAUCGCUGGGUACGCGUGUAUCUACCUUUUAUAGACGUCGUCGGUUUUCCAAAAACAGUUGUACUGUUUUAUACACCCACCAUUGAUGUGUGUCGCCUGACAUCAGGGUUGUCACUCUUUUUAAUUUUAUCCCUGACGGGUGUGGAAGGAGAUCUCUCAGAGGUUUUGUUUUGCAUUGCCGGGUGGCUGAUAGUAUCGAGCGCUAUUUAUGCGCUUCCAGGCUCUUUGAGUCUCUUCCCGGUGACGUGGUGCUUUGCUCCCUUGCUCGUUUCUAUACUCGUGAUUUCAUCAUUGCGUUGUAGGAGUUUUGUUUAUGUUUUCCAGAAACAAUUCCUCUGUCAGUUAUAUGUGUUAGGAAUAUUUUCUCCCAAUCUGUGGCUUUUUGUUGUUUUAGCGGUGAUUUUUUUUUUUUUUUAAGCAGCAAGGAAUUUAUCACAGGGCAUUAAGUAGCUUCAGAGUGUUUGGAAGGAGAUCUAAGAGGCUGAGCUCUCAGGAAUAGCUUCCAGAUGCAAACGGCAGAGCUGGCCUGGGGAGGGGCCGCUGCCGCCACCGGGGCCACCACCGUCACCUUGCUUCUGUCACCUUCAAGAAGCCUCCUCUGCUGUCUUCUGUGUUCCUAAACUUUUUAUUCUAACGUAAUUUCACAGUUAACAGAGGGAUGGCAAAGAUAGUGUGAGGGGUUCCCAUGUGCCUUCACCUAGCUUGAGGCCAUCGCGUCAGCAUCUCAUAUAACCAUGCCACACUUAUCAACACGAAGAAACUGACAAUGGUUCCAUACUAGUAACUAAACUGCAGACUUUAUUUGGAUUCCACCAGUUUUUCCACUAAUGUUGGCCUUCUGUUCCAUGAUCCAUUCCAAGAUCCAUUCUAAGGUCUCAUAUUGCUUUUUUUCAUCAUAGCUUUUUAGUCUCCUCCCAUCUGUGACAGUUUCUCAAACUCCCCUUUUAAGACCUUGAUUCAAUUAAAUUGUUUAGUAUGUCCUUGAAGCCUACAAACUUAAAAACUUUACUAACUAGUCCUAGUAGUUCUCUUUUAGAUGACUUAGGAUUUUCUAUAGACAUGGUCAUGUCAUCUGUGAUAUUUUUAUACCUUUCAUUUCUUUUUCUUGCCUUAUUCUUUUUCUUGCCUUAUUCCACUGGCCAUGACCUCAAGUCAACACGGACUAGAAGUGGGAAAUAGGGACAACCUUGCCAUGUCUCCCCACCCCUUGGGGGAAACCAUUCUGGCUCUUGCCAUAAAGCAUGAUGUUACCUGUAGUGUUUUUAUGGAUGCCUGUUAUCUCAUUAUGGAACUUCUCUUCUAUUCCCUGUUAAGUUUUCUAAAUGAAUGAGUUGAAUUUUAUUAAAUGUUUUUUUAUUUACCUGUUGAGGUGAUAGUAUAGCUGUUCUCCUUACUCUGUUAAUGUGAAUUACAAUUGAUCUUCAAAUGUUAAGAGUCUUGAGUUGAUGGAAUAAAUUCACUUGACCACAACAUAUCAUCAAUUUUCUACACAUUAUUGGAUUUGAUUUGCUAAUUUUGUGAAGGAUUUUUGUGUUUCUGUUCAAGAAAGAUACUGGCCUAUAAUUUUUUUCCUCUUUCAUUAUUCUCAAGUUUUGAUGUCGAGAUUAUGCUGGACUAAUAAAACAUGUUGGGGAAUUGUCACGUCUUCCUCUCUUCCCUGAAAGAAUCUGUGCAAAAUUGGUCUUAUUUAUCCCUCAAGUAUUUGGUAGAAUUAACCAGUGAAGCCAUUGGAGCCUAGAGUUUUCUUUUGGGAAGCUCUUUAAUUACAGAUACAAUUUAAAAAACUGAUACAGGGCUAUUUGUAUUUUCUGUUUAUUUGGUGUCAAUUGUAAAGUUUUAUAUUUCAAGGAAAUUACCCAUUUCUUCUAAGUUAUUGAAUUUGGGGCAUAAUGAGGUUCACAAUAUCCCUUUACUAACCCUAACAUCACUAGGAUCUUAGCAUGUCUCCCUUUUUUCUUUCAUUCCUGAUAUUAGUAUUUCAUGUUUCCCUUUUGUCUGGGUCGGUCGUGCUAGGUAUUGCAGAUUUCUCUUACUAUGUAUCAAAUUAUCCCAAAAUUUAAUGGCUUAAAACAACAGCGAUUUAUUACUUCUCACUUUUCCGUAGGCAAACUGGGCAUCCCUUCUGCUGGCUCCGUAUGGGCUCACCUGCGUGCCGCGUUGAGCCGCGGAGUGGGCAGGGAUGGAAUGUCCACAUCCGCCCCCUUCACAGCUUAGCCCUCGUUACUGGCUGUCCACUGAGGCACCUCUGUUCUCUGUCACGUGGCCUCUCCUCCUCCUGUGAGUCAGACACACUUCCACCUGUGGUGGUCUCAGGACAGCAUCCCCGGGGGGCAGAGGCGGGAGUGCCAAGGCCAGUGGAGGCCUAGGCUACAAACGCACACAGUGUCACUUCUGCCACAUUCUGCUAACCAAGACAGCGCCACAAGGCCAGCACAGAUUGAACAUGGCUGAAAAACGAGCGGGAGGCGUGGCGAAGCUUCGUUGCGAAGGGCCGUGCCUCCUUCUCAAAGUAGAAUCUGUGGCCCUGAGGCCAUCUAUCACAUUCCACGAUCCAGCCACACGUUACUUAUUUUCUUCACACGUGCACCACCACCUUCCCCCCAUCCCAGAAGGCCUAAAAUUCUCAUCCCAGCUGGAGCCUCAGGCUCAACGUCCAGGGUCCCAUGAUCAACAUCAGGUCCCUCUGGACAUCUGUACCUGGCUCUUCUGGUGUGACGCUCCUUGAUCCAGAGAUCUGUGAACUACGUAACCAAGUCACCCUACGAACGGGGCCGGGAUGGCCACAACAGUCACUCCCGUCGGAACGGGGAGGAAUCCGAGGCGCAUGGAAGUCCCUGGUCUGCACCAACUCCAGCCCCAGGCCCAGGUAGCAGAGCCCGCUCCUGCAAGCGCAGGAGAGAGACCUCGACGAAGGCUCAGUCUGCUCCCAGGAGGGCUUCCUCGUCCGUCGUUCUCUUGUUCUGCUCUGUGAGGUCCGUCCUCCUCCAUCAGAAAUAAACGGCCCAUGUUUGAAGACGAGUAGCUUUCUGUGUUUCUGGCCCACAGAAAACUGGAGGCCCAGAAGUGUCCUUUAAUUUUGAAUAUUAUCACCUUCUUUUAGUCCAAGCUGUUGGUCGUGCUCUUAUUAAUACAUUCCUCUCAAAAACGUUACGGGUCUCCUGUGAGUCUCUCCACUUGGGACAUUCCAGGUUCCUAUGAGACAGUGCCCCAUGGGUUCUCAUGGCCAGAGCCUUGAACCCAUCUUUACUCUGAGGCCGUUUCUUCCUUUAGGAACAUCUUGCUGACUGUUGAAACUGAAAAUGUGCAAUACUUUUAUUUUUCAACCAGCAAGUCCUGACUUUUACCUGUUCCCUCUAAAUUCUGAUUGCAAACUGAGUAGCGUGUGUGUGUUCCACUCAACUCCCCUCCUGUACCUUUUCCUGCACCGCUACAGGGAGCUAAUUGGCACUUCCGACAUUCUACCUAGAAAUACUUUCAUCCGUAUUUACAAAUUCUCUGGGUGUAUGUUUUCUGUUUCCCAGGUUAACCGCUGGCGAUGGUCCUGCGCGUGGCUCUGUCCCUACUCAACUCAGGUCAGUCUUUCUCCAGCCUCUGGCGGUCACUUCCUUACGGUUUGCCCAACGCCUUUUCAGCCUCCACCCAGGGCCUGAGUCUAAAGGUUUUGUCACAGCAGCACCCGAAUUUCCAUUUCAGCUACGUGUCACCGCGUAACAAACAACUCCAGCAUUUAUGAUAGCGACAAUUUGCUGUUUCUCACAGUUCCGUGGGGUGGCCGGUGGCUCCUGCCCACGCGGGGCGCUCAGCCCAAGCCUCUGCUGGGCAGGAGGGUGCGGGACAGCGGGCUCACACGAGAGGCUGCUGUCGCCUGGGCCGUGCCACGCCACAUUCUUCCACGUGGCCCCCCUGCCCGGAGGCUUCCUCGGGUGGCUGCAGGGGUUGCGUAUGGAGGUGGGUCUGGGGCCCGCACGGCUUCACUUCCACCAUGUCCUGGCAUUGGUCAAAGCAAGCCCCGGGGCAGAGGGACCCAAGGGAAGGGGACGUGGUCCCCACGAUAGUCGUGGCUGAGUCACCUGCAAAGGGAGCGUGACGUGAGAAGACUUUCUGUGGCAGCCUUAGGAAACAGUCACCCACGCCAGGCGUUCGCCAGUUUUGCUGGUCUUUCCAGGGCCUGGUGGAGCCUCGACAUUGUCGUUCUUUGUAACCCCUGCUUCACCCUCUAGGGCUCCGCAUCACGGAACGUUCACAAGGGACAUCGCUUCCGGAGGACGCCUCGUCCCUCUGGACGAGGCUCAGAAAGGUGUUGCCGAAGGCAAGAGGGGGGUCAGGAAGCCGCUGCUCACCUGGGCUUCCCUGGAGUCCUCCAGGACCGGCCAGGUACCUCGGGCUCCGUGGGGGACCCUCCCAGAAGGCACAGGAUGCCCAGGGGGACUUCUGACCAUUGUCUGUUCCCUCCACCCGUUUCUUCGAGUCACUCCUUUAACAUCACUCUGAACGGCAGUCUUUGCCGGGUGGCCCUGGGCCAGCGUGACCCGGGUCGGCAUCCUGGGACUCGCUCGGGCAUCCCAGCAGGGCCGGCUCAGGCAGGAAGCGGUCACCUGCCUGGCAGCAGGUGAGCUCUGGCCCAGGAUUCGCUUGUCCCUGGGCUGCACCAGCACCUGCACACC